UACGGGGGGGGCAAGCGUUGUUCGGAAUUACUGGGCGUAAAGGGCCCGUAGGCGGCCAACUAAGUCCGACGUGAAAUCCCCAGGCUUAACCUGGGAACUGCGUCGGAUACUGGAUGGCUUGAAUUCGGGAGAGGGAUGCAGAAUUCCAGGUGUAGCGGUGAAAUGCGUAGAUAUCUGGAGGAAUACCGGUGGCGAAGGCGGCAUCCUGGACCGACAUUGACGCUGAGGCACGAAAGCCAGGGGAGCAAACGGG
rnacentral:rRNA from 1 species